UUUAUGGAGAGUUUGAUCCUGGCUCAGGAUGAACGCUGGCGGCGUGCCUAAUACAUGCAAGUCGAGCGAACAGAUAAGGAGCUUGCUCCUUUGACGUUAGCGGCGGACGGGUGAGUAACACGUGGGUAACCUACCUAUAAGACUGGAAUAACUCCGGGAAACCGGGGCUAAUGCCGGAUAACAUGUUGAACCGCAUGGUUCUACAGUGAAAGACGGUCUUGCUGUCACUUAUAGAUGGACCCGCGCCGUAUUAGCUAGUUGGUGGGGUAACGGCCUACCAAGGCGACGAUACGUAGCCGACCUGAGAGGGUGAUCGGCCACACUGGAACUGAGACACGGUCCAGACUCCUACGGGAGGCAGCAGUAGGGAAUCUUCCGCAAUGGGCGAAAGCCUGACGGAGCAACGCCGCGUGAGUGAUGAAGGUCUUCGGAUCGUAA
rnacentral:rRNA from 1 species